rnacentral:tRNA from 1 species
GAAAUAAAUAAAAUGAAUUUCUAAUUCAUUAAAAAAUAUUAAAUUAUUUAUAUUUCU